GGCAAGAUGGCCGAGUGGUACGUCAAUGCGCCAACCCUAACCCUUUAUGUUCAAUAUCUAACCCUAAACCUAAUAGGUCUAAGGCGCAGCACUCGAAAUGCUGUAUCUUCGGAUGCGUGAGUUCAAAUCUCACUCUUGUCG
rnacentral:tRNA from 1 species